rnacentral:rRNA from 1 species
ACACGACUCUCGGCAACGGAUAUCUCGGCUCUCGCAUCGAUGAAGAACGUAGCGAAAUGCGAUACCUGGUGUGAAUUGCAGAAUCCCGCGAACCAUCGAGUCUUUGAACGCAAGUUGCGCCCGAGCCAUCUCGGCCGAGGGCACGCCUGCCUGGGCGUCACGC